ACAGUAAAAAGUCCGAGGGCAGCCGCCGGGCGCAGGAUGGGAUCCGGCUCCUCCAGCUACCGGCCCAAGGCCAUCUACCUGGACAUCGAUGGACGCAUUCAGAAGGAACACAACCAUCUCCCUGCUGACCACCGACGACGCCAUGGUCUCCAUCGACCCCACCAUGCCGGCGAAUUCAGAACGCACUCCCUACAAAGUGAGACCUGUGGCCAUCAAGCAACUCUCUGCUGGUGUCGAGGACAAGAGAACCACAAGCCGUGGCCAGUCUGCUGAGAGACCACUGAGGGACAGACGGGUUGUGGGCCUGGAGCAGCCCCGGAGGGAAGGAGCAUUUGAAAGUGGACAGGUAGAGCCCAGGCCCAGAGAGCCCCAGGGCUGCUGCCAGGAAGGCCAGCGCAUCCCUCCAGAGCAUUCAAAAUCAAUGAACUGAAAGCUGAAGUUGCAAAUCACUUGGCUGUCCUAGAGAAACGCGUGGAAUUGGAAGGACUAAAAGUGGUGGAGAUUGAGAAAUGCAAGAGUGACAUUAAGAAGAUGAGGGAGGAGCUGGCGGCCAGAAGCAGCAGGACCAACUGCCCCUGUAAGUACAGUUUUUUGGAUAACCACAAGAAGUUGACUCCUCGACGCGAUGUUCCCACUUACCCCAAGUACCUGCUCUCUCCAGAGACCAUCGAGGCCCUGCGGAAGCCGACCUUUGACGUCUGGCUUUGGGAGCCCAAUGAGAUGCUGAGCUGCCUGGAGCACAUGUACCACGACCUCGGGCUGGUCAGGGACUUCAGCAUCAACCCUGUCACCCUCAGGAGGUGGCUGUUCUGCGUCCACGACAACUACAGAAACAACCCCUUCCACAACUUCCGGCACUGCUUCUGCGUGGCCCAGAUGAUGUACAGCAUGGUGUGGCUCUGCAGUCUCCAGGAGAACUUCUCACAAAUGGAUAUCCUGAUCCUAAUGACAGCGGCCAUCUGCCACGAUCUGGACCAUCCCGGCUACAACAACACGUACCAGAUCAAUGCCCGCACAGAGCUGGCGGUCCGCUACAAUGACAUCUCACCGCUGGAGAACCACCACUGCGCCGUGGCCUUCCAGAUCCUCGCCGAGCCUGAGUGCAACAUCUUCUCCAACAUCCCACCUGAUGGGUUCAAGCAGAUCCGACAGGGAAUGAUCACAUUAAUCUUGGCCACUGACAUGGCAAGACAUGCAGAAAUUAUGGAUUCUUUCAAAGAGAAAAUGGAGAAUUUUGACUACAGCAACGAGGAGCACAUGACCCUGCUGAAGAUGAUUUUGAUAAAAUGCUGUGAUAUCUCUAACGAGGUCCGUCCAAUGGAAGUCGCAGAGCCUUGGGUGGACUGUUUAUUAGAGGAAUAUUUUAUGCAGAGCGACCGUGAGAAGUCAGAAGGCCUUCCCGUGGCCCCGUUCAUGGACCGAGACAAAGUGACCAAGGCCACAGCCCAGAUUGGGUUCAUCAAGUUUGUCCUGAUCCCAAUGUUUGAAACAGUGACCAAGCUCUUCCCCAUGGUUGAGGAGAUCAUGCUGCAGCCACUUUGGGAAUCCCGAGAUCGCUACGAGGAACUGAAGCGGAUAGAUGAUGCCAUGAAAGAGUUACAGAAGAAGACUGACAGCUUGACGUCUGGGGCCACCGAGAAGUCCAGAGAGAGAAGCAGAGAUGUGAAAAACAGUGAAGGAGACUGUGCCUGAGGAAAGCGGGGGGCGUGGCUGCGGUUCUGGACAGGCUGGCCGAGCUGCGCGGGAUCCUUGUGCAGGGAAGAGCUGCCCUGGGCACCUGGCACCACAAAACCACGUUUUCUAAGAACCAUUUUGUUCACUGAUACAAAAAAAAAAAAAAGGAAUUCAUGAUGCUGUACAGAAUUUUAUUUUUAAACUGUCUUUUAAAUAAUAUAUUCUUAUACGGAAA
rnacentral:sRNA from 1 species